rnacentral:rRNA from 1 species
CUUUUGUCAAAGGGAUUGUGGACUUGGAUGUUGUUGUGUAACUACAACUCGUCUCAAAUGCAUGAGUGUACCCUGCAUCUGCAGCGUAUUCGGUGUGAUAAGCAUCUUCACCGGAGUCAAGCCCUCUUGGGCGCGCUUGUGAAUGUAGGCCCUGCGCUGCAAACCGUCCUUGGACAAACAACUGACAAUUUGACCUCAAAUCGGGCGGGACUACCCGCUGAACUUAAGCAUAUCAAUAAGCGGAGGAAAAGAAACUAACAAGGAUUCCCCUAGUAACGGCGAGUGAAGAGGGAAAAGCUCAAAUUUUAAAUCUGGUGUCUUCGGCGCCCGAGUUGUAAUCUAGAGAAGUGUUUUCUGUGUUGGACCGUGCAAAAGUUCCCUGGAACGGGGCGUCAUAGAGGGUGAGAAUCCCGUAUAUGGCAUGGACUCCCAAUGCUCUGUGAUACACUCUCGACGAGUCGAGUUGUUUGGGAAUGCAGCUCAAAAUGGGUGGUAAAUUCCAUCUAAAGCUAAAUAUUGGCGAGAGACCGAUAGCGAACAAGUACCGUGAGGGAAAGAUGAAAAGCACUUUGGAAAGAGAGUGAAACAGUACGUGAAAUUGUUGAAAGGGAAGCGUUUGAAGUCAGUCACGCUUGUCGGAACUCAGCCUGGCUUCUGCCUGGUGUACUUUCUGGUGAGCGGGUCAGCGUCAGUUUUGGUCGAGGGAGAAAGGCAUUGGGAAUGUGGCAGUCUUCGGGCUGUGUUAUAGCCCUUUGUUGUAUGCCUCGACUGGGAUUGAGGACUGCAGCGCGCCUUUAUG